CGGACGGUGAGUAACGCGUGGAAAACCUGCCGUAUACUGGGGGAUAACACUUAGAAAUAGGUGCUAAUACCGCAUAAGCGCACAGCUUCGCAUGAAGUGGUGUGAAAAACUCUGGUGGUAUACGAUGGUUCCGCGUCUGAUUAGCUUGUUGGUGGGGUAAUGGCUCACCAAGGCGACGAUCAGUAGCCGGCCUGAGAGGGUGAACGGCCACAUUGGGACUGAGACACGGCCCAAACUCCUACGGGAGGCAGCAG
rnacentral:rRNA from 1 species